rnacentral:rRNA from 1 species
AGCAGCCGCGGUAAUUCCAGCUCCAAUAGCGUAUAUUAAAGUUGUUGCAGUUAAAAAGCUCGUAGUUAAAUUUCAGGCCUGGCUGGACGGUCCGCCCUUCGGGUGAGUACUGUCUGUGGUCGGGUCCUACCUUCUGGCGAAGCGUCAUGGCCUUAACCGGCCGUGGCGGGGAACCAGGACUUUUACUGUGAAAAAAUUAGAGUGUUCAAAGCAGGCAAAUCGCUUGGAUACAUUAGCAUGGAAUAAUGGAAUAGGACAAUGGUUCUAUUUGUUGGUUUCUAGGACCGUUGUAAUGAUUAAUAGGGAUAGUUGGGGGCAUUAGUAUUCAAUUGUCAGAGGUGAAAUUCUUGGGUUUAUUGAAGACUAACUACUGCGAAAGCAUUUGCCAAGGAUGUUUUCAUUAAUCAAGAACGAAAGUUAGGGGAUCGAAGACGAUCAGAUACCGUCGUAGUCUUAACCAUAAACUAUGCCGACUAGGAAUCGGGCGAUGUUGACAAAAUGACACGCUCGGCACCUCAUG